CUUGCCCGUGGUUCACCAUGGUUGCAGGCCCUGAAUUGCAAUUCUUUGCUGAUCUAGAACAAACCCAUUUUUGCUGGAGAAAUAACUAGCUGUUUAUUUGCUUAAGGUCACCAUUUUGGUGGCCCAUACAGGGAUACAGAGGAAACCCCUGAGGACUCCGAGGCUGCUGAGGAAACAGGUGGGGUGCUCACAGAGCCCGUUGAGCUCGCUGCUUUUCUCCGGACCCUGGAGUUUGAGAACACAGCCUCCGAAAUUUACACUGGGACUACUUCAUGUGAUACUGGAGAAUGUAUCCCUUUUGGUUCUCAAAUCUGCAUCUAAACCUUGACGUUUCUAGAUCUUUGUAAGAAGAGACAACGCAUCUCUGUUGUGGACCUUCUGCCUCAGAGGACCCACCCUGCUACCAUCAGAACUUGCCUUUUGAGGAUUAGUUAAUGCCUACAGCAUUUAAAACAAUCUGAGACUUCAGAAUGUAUUUUGCAUCCAUUCUUCCUUCAUUUAUAAAGAAAAUGAAGUGGAAAAGUUUUCAAACCUGUAGUUUUAAAGACAAUCCUUGAAAGCUCACAAUGAGUGAGGAAACUUUUUUUUUAAAGAUUAUUGUUAACUUGAAAUGCUUUUCAUAAUUGAUAUCAUGAGACAUCCCUCUAAUAUAUCUAUCUAUCUAAUAAUAUAAUAUAUAAGACAUCCCGUCAUUAUAUUUGGCAAUAGGCAGGACUCAGAUAAGGGUUUAAGAGAGCUAAAAACAAGGAAAACAUAUGUUUGUUAUCUAAAUUGUUAUGUGUAUCCUGGCACUUAAUAUUUCUAAAGUAGUGGGGAUUUUAAACAGCUCAUUCUUGUCAGUUGCUUUUUAAUGAAUUUG
rnacentral:lncRNA from 1 species